rnacentral:lncRNA from 1 species
UGGUGGAGCCGGAGGAGGGUUAGGCGGUGGUGGUGGUGGAGGGUUUGGCGGCGGCGGUGGAGCUGGUGGAGGAGCCGGGUUUGGAGGAGGAUCUGGGUUUGGAGGUGGUGCUGGUGCCGGUGGCGGCCUCGGAGGUGGUGGUGGAGGAGGGUUUGGAGGUGGCGGGGGUGCUGGCGGUGGACUUGGAAGUGGACUUGGCGGUGGCGCUGGAGGAGGAUUCGGUGGGGGAGCUGGUGCCGGAGGUGGAUUUCCAUGAAAAGUUUGCAUGCGAAGAGAAUGCAUAUAUAUUAAAGAAAAGAGGCUAUUCUUCUUAUAUUUGGCAUUAAUAAC